rnacentral:tRNA from 1 species
UCCCCGGUGGUCCAGAGGCUGAGACUCUGCACUCCCAGUGCAGGGAGCUUGGGUUCGAUCCCUGGUCAGGGAA